rnacentral:rRNA from 1 species
GAACUGAAGAGUUUGAUCAUGGCUCAGAUUGAACGCUGGCGGCAGGCCUAACACAUGCAAGUCGAGCGGAUGACGGGAGCUUGCUCCUUGAUUCAGCGGCGGACGGGUGAGUAAUGCCUAGGAAUCUGCCUGGUAGUGGGGGACAACGUUUCGAAAGGAACGCUAAUACCGCAUACGUCCUACGGGAGAAAGCAGGGGACCUUCGGGCCUUGCGCUAUCAGAUGAGCCUAGGUCGGAUUAGCUAGUUGGUGGGGUAAUGGCUCACCAAGGCGACGAUCCGUAACUGGUCUGAGAGGAUGAUCAGUCACACUGGAACUGAGACACGGUCCAGACUCCUACGGGAGGCAGCAGUGGGGAAUAUUGGACAAUGGGCGAAAGCCUGAUCCAGCCAUGCCGCGUGUGU